rnacentral:rRNA from 1 species
GAGGGGCUUGCGGCCUAUCAGCUAGUUGGUGGGGUAACGGCCUACCAAGGCGACGACGGGUAGCUGGUCUGAGAGGACGGCCAGCCGGACUGGGACUGAGAUACGGCCCAGACUCCUACGGGGGGCAGCAAUUAGGAAUCUUGCGCAAUGGGCGAAAGCCUGACGCAGCGACGCCGCGUGGAGGAGGAAGUCCUUCGGGAUGUAAACUCCUUUUUCCAGGGAAGAAAGGGUGCAAGCCUUUGACGGUACCUGGUGAAUAAGCCCCGGCUAACUACGUGCCAGCAGCCGCGGUAAUACGUAGGGGGCGAGCGUUGUCCGAAGUUACUGGGCGUAAAGCGCGCGUAGGCGGGGGAUUAAGUGAGAGGUGAAAGGCUGGGGCUCAACCCCAGCAGUGCCUCUCAUACUGGUCUUCUUGAGGGCGGUAGGGAGAAGUGGAAUGGCUGGUGUAGCGGUGAAAUGCGUAGAUAUCAGUCGGAACACCGGUGGCGAAGGCGGCUUCUUGGGCCGUUCCUGACGCUGAGGCGCGAAAGCUGGGGGAGCGAACGGGAUUAGAUACCCCGGUAGUCCCAGCCGUAAACGAUGGAUACUAGGUGU